rnacentral:rRNA from 1 species
AACGAACGCUGGCGGCAGGCUUAACACAUGCAAGUCGAACGGGCGUAGCAAUACGUCAGUGGCAGACGGGUGAGUAACACGUGGGAAUAUCCCUCUCAGUUCGGAAUAACUCAGGGAAACUUGAGCUAAUACCGGAUACGUCCUUCGGGAGAAAGAUUUAUCGUUGAGAGAUUAGCCCGCGUCUGAUUAGCUAGUUGGUGAGGUAAUGGCUCACCAAGGCGACGAUCAGUAGCUGGUCUGAGAGGAUGAUCAGCCACACUGGGACUGAGACACGGCCCAGACUCCUACGGGAGGCAGCAGUGGGGAAUAUUGGACAAUGGGGGCAACCCUGAUCCAGCCGUGCCGCGUGAGUGAUGAAGGCCUUAGGGUUGUAAAGCUCUUUUGCCAGGGAAGAUAAUGACUGUACCUGGAGAAUAAGCCCCGGCUAACUUCGUGCCAGCCGCCGCAGUAA